UUUGAUGAUGAUUAACAUGCGUGAACAAUCUCUUAGUUAAGCGAUGAUUAAAAAACAUAUGUUGCCUUCCUUCUGAAA
rnacentral:snoRNA from 1 species